UUUGGUCAAACCUCUCUCCCUCCACUACUUCGUGACACAUCGUAGCUAGAUUGGUACGGCACGAGAAGCCCCGUCGGAGUAACUCCACCAUCAUCAUCGCCACGCCGUCGUGCUAUCGGAGAAUUCACCUACCUCUUCGUCUCUCUUGUUGGAUCAAGAAGACGGAGAUCGUCAUCGAGCUGUACGUGUGCUGAACGCGGAGGUGCCGUCUGUUCGGUGCUAGAUCGGGACGGAUCGUGGGACGGCGGCGAUUUGGAGCGCGAAGACAUUCCACUACAUCAACUGCGUUUCUUAACGCUUCCCGCUUAGCGAUCUACAAGGGUAUGUAGAUCCAAUCUUUCUCUCGUAGAUGUUCAUCACCAUGAUAGGUCUUCAUGUGUGUAGGAAUUUUUUUUGUUUUCCAUGCAACGUUCCCCAACAUAGACUUGAGGUGUUUUGUAGGUGGUGGUUCGUGUUGCAACUACAAAAAAUUGAUCACCGUAGCAAGAUCUUCCUCUUUUUUUUUUCUUUUUGUCUUUUAGCUGUGUGCAUCGGUAAUGUCUUUACAGAGGCUAAGUGUAAUUGGUAUCUCCGUGAUAUUAAUAUAUUCUCCUUGUCGUAAAUCCUGCGAACCUCCGACGGUGAUUGUUGAUGUUUUUGCCUUUUGCCAUGAUUGUUCUUUUUUUGUGGGGGUUCUUUGUGCAAAGUGCUGUAUCAGUUGUUCUUUGGAAUCCUAGC
rnacentral:lncRNA from 1 species